rnacentral:lncRNA from 1 species
AAAUUAUACCAAAAUAAAAUAUUAAGUAAAAGAAGUAAGUUGCCAAAAAUUUGGCUCAAUUCGAGUUUUCUAACAUAUGGAAAAAAGGAAAUGAAAUAUUACAAUAAAUAGUAAAAAAUAACUUAAAAUUGAAUUUUGGAAAGGAAAACAGUGGAUUUUGGGCUCGAAAUUGACGACCACCGAGCAUAGCUGGGUGGCCACGAUGUGCGCGCCGAAGAGAGCUUUCCGGAUUGGGGUCAUAAUAGCGAUUCCGAUAACCGUAGCCAAAGUUAUGGCCAAAUUACCAAAAACGCGUCAAAUUCCCCCAAUUAAGGAAAUAAUGGUGAUUCACUUUCCAUCUUUGCGCCGAUCCGCCAUCUCAUGGUAUCUCAGCGCCAUCAUCGUGCUAUCUGACAAAUCAGCAUCACUCGACUCGGAUCCUCCUGCAUCAUUGAGUCAAU